rnacentral:rRNA from 1 species
UCCAUCGGUCUCAAGCGUUGUUCGGAUUCAUUGGGCGUAAAGGGUGCGUAGGCGGCGCGGUAAGUCGGGUGUGAAAUCUCGGAGCUUAACUCCGAAACUGCAUUCGAUACUGCCGUGCUUGAGGACUGGAGAGGAGACUGGAAUUUACGGUGUAGCGGUGAAAUGCGUAGAUAUCGUAAGGAAGACCAGUGGCGAAGGCGGGUCUCUGGACAGUUCCUGACGCUGAGGCACGAAGGUCAGGGGAGCAAACGGG